GGCUGGUCCGAUGAUAGUGGAUUAUCAGAACUUAUUAACCUUAGUGGCACCAAAGCUGGUAUACAGCGCCCCCCAACGGAAUUUGACUGGAUUUUA
rnacentral:Y_RNA from 1 species